rnacentral:rRNA from 1 species
AGCGGCGGACGGGUGAGUAAUGCUUAGGAAUCUGCCUAUUAGUGGGGGACAACAUUCCGAAAGGAAUGCUAAUACCGCAUACGUCCUACGGGAGAAAGCAGGGGAUCUUCGGACCUUGCGCUAAUAGAUGAGCCUAAGUCGGAUUAGCUAGUUGGUGGGGUAAAGGCCUACCAAGGCGACGAUCUGUAGCGGGUCUGAGAGGAUGAUCCGCCACACUGGGACUGAGACACGGCCCAGACUCCUACGGGAGGCAGCAGUGGGGAAUAUUGGACAAUGGGGGGAACCCUGAUCCAGCCAUGCCGCGUGUGUGAAGAAGGCCUUAUGGUUGUAAAGCACUUUAAGCGAGGAGGAGGCUACUGAGACUAAUACUCUUGGAUAGUGGACGUUACUCGCAGAAUAAGCACCGGCUAACUCUGUGCCAGCAGCCGCGGUAAUACAGAGGGUGCGAGCGUUAAUCGGAUUUACUGGGCGUAAAGCGUGCGUAGGCGGCUUUUUAAGUCGGAUGUGAAAUCCCCGAGCUUAACUUGGGAAUUGCAUUCGAUACUGGGAAGCUAGAGUAUGGGAGAGGAUGGUAGAAUUCCAGGUGUAGCGGUGAAAUGCGUAGAGAUCUGGAGGAAUACCGAUGGCGAAGGCAGCCAUCUGGCCCAAUACUGACGCUGAGGUACGAAAGCAUGGGGAGCAAACAGGAUUAGAUACCCUG